rnacentral:misc_RNA from 1 species
AACGCACAUUGCGCCCUUUGGUAUUCCGAAGGGCAUGCCUGUUCGAGCGUCAUUUUCAACCGUCAAGCCUGGCUUGUUAUUGGGUCCGAUCGUGGAACUUCCACCGAUCGACCUGAAAGAUAAUGGCGGCGUCAAAUCUUGACCCCAGAUGCAGCGAGCUUUGUUGAGCAUACAUCGCGGCGGUCGAUUUGUCCUGGCCCUCCUGCGGUCGUCCCCCGGGACGGUCGUGUUCUCUCAUAAGGUUGACCUCGGAUCAGGUAGGAAUACCCGCUGAACUUAA